GUGGAGUAACGGGAAUUGCUUGGUCCGUCGAGAAGAGUAGAAGGCAAUGCUUUGAUUCUGUUCGUGCUAGUAAUGGUUAGCUUCUUUAUUUGCAUUUCCUUUUUCUUUUUCUUGAUGAUGUAAUAAGAGAGACUCAGAGCUCACAUAUUUGCAGGAGGUAAAGAUGAUAAGUUAUUUUGAGCAAAUUUUGUCACGGGAGAACGGUUUUUAUUUUCAAGCUGAGCCCGCAGCAAGAGAAACUUACAAUAUUUCUGGUUUGAUCAUAAGUGCAAAUUGCGUGCCAAACAGGUUUUGCGAUCUACUACUAAUGAGUAUUGACUUGACCAGCGAUGCCGACUUCUAGCACCUGGCACAAGAAGAUGCAGGCAUCAACAAAGAAGCUUUUGCAAGGUCCAAGAGCAGUCAAUCAUCAGAAGAGACUCCCACCAUUCUCCAGUAUUUGUUCCCUGCGGCGGUGAGAUAUACCCCAGAGGGGCGAGUCUGUUCCGCAAAUCGCAGCAUGACAGGGAGGACGGACGUGCCGCGGAACAAGAUCGGCAUCGGAACAUGGCGGAAGAUCUCCUCAUAUGGACGCACGCCGUUCUGGUAUCCCAGGUACGUUUUGUCAAAUGCCAAAGCCCAACGAUUCUCAUUCUUUGGUGCCACCGGAGGAAAGGUAGUACCCUCCCCGCCUGAGUAACGUGCUCUGGUUGCUGGACUGCUGGAGGCCUCUCACUGGAGGAUGAAUGGAUGAUGCUGGUACUGUGGAAUUUAAUGGAAAGCUGGGCUCUAGAAGGACCAGAUUAGAUCGCGGUGGAAGCUAGCUAAGCUGGUGACAUACAGCAGAAACGUCACGGAGGAGGAUUGCAGCACCUGCACGGCUGCACCUCCACUUCACGCGGUUUAUGAAGCUCCAAAGCAGCCAUGGAUACCAUUCCAUCAGUCAAGAACUAUUCUGCAAGUGCCUCAUGUGGAGUGAUUCUGGGGUCAGAUCGAUCGAUGCUCUCUUCUCGUGGCGGCUCGUGUGGGAUAUAUAUCAUCAGUGGGUUUCAGACGAUGCGGGUCCUGCCUGGAAAAGCGCAAAGCGCGAGCGAAGAUACGAGGCGGCCGGCCGGCGAUCGGACCGAUCGCGCUGGCGGAUUUUAUCCUCGCGUGUGGAUUUGUUAAAGAAACUGCGUACGUACGGAGGCAUGCAGCAAAGUCAGCAUAUGCAGCUGUGUGUGUGUGUGCAUGCACCUCGGAAAGCAGAAAAGGUA